CAAAACCCACUGAUGAACUUUUAACCACUAUUGGUGGUAGUUUAGCGGUAUCACUGCUUGGUGUAUUUGACGUAUUAGUGUUGGUCACUGGCUGAGAUCUCUUACUCUGCUGAUUAGGUGGCUCUUCUUCGUUGUCGCUAAGCAGAGCGAAACUGUUUUCGGAUAGAUCCGAACGACUGCGCGUAUCGGUUUUGUCUAUGUGUAGUUGUCUUGGUGGUGCUUUGGGCUUUCUGCCCCUUCUAUCUCUUCCUCCCAUUGCGAGAGAAGAGUAUUUGCGUACCUUCGUAUACUUUGUGAUUUUGUGUGUUUGUACGUAUUAGUUUUGUUAUUCGGAGCUAUCUGGAAGUACGUCUGUGCUUGACCAGAGCCGAUUUGCAACUGUGAUUUUAAUAAACAUAAAAUCAACCACGGAAGUAUGAUUUAGUUGUGGUGGAAGCGUGUAUUGUCAGCCGAAUGAAAUUUCUAACCUUCACGCACGACGCCGCCGCCAGGUAAGUAAGUGUUUAUGUGUAAUUACGAUCAUUGUUUCAUUUUAGGGUGUGAUUUGUGCAAUAUAACCGUUCCUGGCGGGGAUAGUCAAUAGUCGAUACCCUCUGCAGCUGUGAAGGGGCUCGCUACCACCCUUCCCACACUAGGACGCUUUUUCCGCGGAUGAAAGAUAUGUUCCUGGCUAUAUGCGCCAAAUCUAACGGUGAUCCGUAUUGUGAAGGAAUUGGCAUAGGCGGUGCCGGGGACUUGCUGAAAAUGGUACACAACGGCAUCGAGUACGGUGAUAUUCAACUCCCGCUGCGCAAAGCGAUCGAAAAAUUCUCAACCUCUCGCUCAAUGUAGCUAGAGAGCAAGAACCAAUAUUGA